AUGAGGGAAGCGGGACAGGAAUGGCGAAGACCAAAGGAAAUUCUCCAGUGAAGGCCUUUUUAAGCCUUUAGAGGUGAACAUUCAUCCUGCUGUACAACAAACUGGAGCAGGAGCGGUACCGAAGUGGCUCAUUCAGGCAAUCCAUCUGGCAUUGUGCAGACCUCCCCAUAGAGCUUAGCAUGACUCUGUGAAGAACACUUGAAAUUGAAAUGUUUGAAAUUUCAAAGGACUUAAAUGAAGUUGGGUUAUCCUGGCCUCAUUUUCCUGGUCAGUGAAGGCUUUUUAGAGCGUGAAAGCGUACA